AUAAACUGACUCAUGUAUACACUGCCAUCUUGAAACCUGAUAAUGAGUUGAGAAUUUUAAUUGAUGGAGAGGAGAAGCAGAAGGCAAAUUUCCUCGCUGCUGAUGAUUUUCAGCCACCGCUCAUUCCUGAGAAGACAAUUCCUGAUCCAGAUGACAAGAAGCCUGAGGAUUGGGAUGAGAGGGCAAAGAUUCCUGACCCUGAUGCAGUAAAACCUGAAGACUGGGAUGAGCAUGCUCCCAUGGAAAUUGAAGAUGAGGAUGCUGUGAAACCUGAAGGAUGGCUGGAUGAUGAGCCUGAGGAGAUAGAUGACCCUGAGGCCACAAAACCUGAGGAUUGGGAUGAUGAGGAGGAUGGUGAAUGGGAGGCCCCAAAGAUUGAUAACCCAAAGUGUGAAGCAGCCCCUGGAUGCGGCGAGUGGAAGAGGCCAAUGAAGAGGAAUCCUGCCUACAAGGGCAAAUGGCAUGCUCCACAUAUUGACAACCCUAAUUACAAGGGUAUUUGGAAGCCUCAGCAGAUUCCAAACCCCAACUAUUUUGAGCUUGACAAACCUGACUUUGAGCCUAUUGCUGCUGUUGGCAUUGAGAUCUGGACAAUGCAGGAUGGUAUUUUGUUUGACAACAUUUUGAUAUCAAAGGAUGAGAAAGUUGCAGAGUCCUAUCGGGCUUCUGCAUGGAAGCCUAAGUUUGAUGUUGAGAAAGAGAAACUGAAGGCUGAGGAAGCAGCUGCUGGUUCAGAUGGCCUUGCAGGCUUCCAGGUAAUGGAUUAGGCAGCAGUUGAUCCAUAUUACUCUUAUAUGAUCUGUUAUCUAUGUGCUAACGUAAUUGUUUAAUUUUUUUCCUGCAGAAGAAGGUAUUUGAUCUCUUGUACAAGGUUGCAGACAUUCCUUUCUUGGAUGCAUACAAACUUAAGAUCAUUGUAAGUUUAUAUAAUAUUUUAUUUUUCUUUUGUGCAAUUUAUUGAUAGUAUAUGGAAUGGAUACCUGAAACUGGUAUUUGUACAACAGGAUGUGAUUGAGAAGGGAGAGAAACAACCAAACCUUACAAUUGGUAUCCUUGUCUCCGUUGUGGCGGUGAUCAUCACAGUUCUGUUCAAGAUCAUUUUUGGUGGAAAGAAGGUUAGUCUUGAAUCUCUCUAGUGGUCGAUUUUCCUGUUUUCAGUGUUUAUUAACAAUCAUGGGUGGUGUUAGUACUUUUGUCUCACUGGGCUGGCUUACCAUGUGCAGGCUAAAGUAGAGCCCCCAAAAGAAACAGAAGCUGCAGAGAGUUCCUCGAGCAAACAAGAGGACAGUGGUGAAAAGGAAGAAGAGACCGAGAAGGAAGAAACUGCUGCUGCUCCUGCUCGUCGGAGGAGACGCGAUAAUUAAACAAAUGGAAGCAGGAUGCCUGUGGCUAUUAGCUGCACUUUUGGUAGAUUAUCAGCUUUAGUUGUUUUCCCUAGCUGGAUUCUUGGCUUUUGCCUUUUCUUUUUUCUUCUUUUUCGUUCUUUUUGAGCUUUGUUUUGAAACACUAAAAUGUAUGAAAGAGUGUAUAAUUUGAGACAGUCUAAUGCUGAGAUGAUUCAUUUUCUGCAUUGAAGAAAAAAUUGUUAUGGCUAAUUGUGGAGAGUUUUAUUCUCUAUUGCAGAAAGUAAGGAUAUAACAACUUAGCCUUGGGUUUCAAUUAUUAUAUUUUAUAGUUCAGGGAUCUGGAUGUUAUAAGCUGCAAAUUUUUCAAUUGAUACAAUUGUACUUUUGAGGGGUUUUUAGCUCGAACCUUUCUACAAGUUUCCUAUUCAAUGAGACCUAAUAGGCUAAUACCAUUCUCAAACUUCUCUCUCCAUUCCCUAACCAGCCAUGACCAAAUCAAGCCCCAAAAAAGAAAAAAAAAAAUUGGUCAUCCAAAGUAAAUUAAAGCGACAACAACGCACCCACUUUCGCACACAUUCCGUCGAAUACAUUAUACGCAACAAUAAGUUUAAUUAUUUUAACUGCAAAUUAUUUAUAAGGCUUACUAAUACAAACUUAAUCCAAACAAUGCGCGUGAAAUCAAUUGUAAGAUAUUGUGAAAUUAAAUUUAAUUUCAAAAGAGAACAGCCGCGAUCGCAAUAUUUGGGGUAUUACAGCCGCGAUGGCGGCUGUUAUAAAAUUUGGGGUGUUGCAGCCGCGAUCGCGGCUGUUAUAACCCUUUUCCCGCCGAUCGGCAGCUAAUCAGCGGCGGUUCUCGCUUGGGGCCUGAUGGGCGGUUACUUCUGGUUCGAAUGGUGGUUGUUGCGGCUGGAAAGGUGACCAAAAAAUAAAGACCGGCAGCCUUGAACGGUGGCCGACUCUGGGCUGACGACACAAAUUUUUUGUUACAGUCAUAGAGAGAUAAAGAUGAUUUUUGAAUUUUCAAAUUGAGUCGUUGAAAUUACAGUGCAAAUCAGAAAAUGUUUUUCUUUAAUGGCAUUCCUUGUAAUUUUUUGAAUCCAAAGCCCAAAUAAUGAAUCAAUUUAAUAAUUUUUAACCACCCAAGCAAAUGCACAUUUUGAUUAUUAAAAUCCUAAUAGUUUUUUAAAUAUUUUAUUGUAGUUGCUUUUUUGUUUCCCACAUUUUCUUUUGUAGAGAUGGCAUAUCAACAGCUUGUCAAAAAGGCGCACGAUAACGUUCGGUAGAAUAAUUUGUUACUAAUAAAGGUAAUCUCUUAUUUUAUUAAGUUAACAUCAGUUAAUUAUUAAAUUUCUUAAAUAUUUAGGGAGGUAAAUCAAUAUUUUUGUAUCAUCGGGCAACAUUUUAAAAAUUAUCACUCUAGUUAGGGGUUUAUUUGAAUCUUACCCCUGUAAAGUAUAAAAAUAAUACAUAUAACAUUCUCAAUUCUAGUCAUUACAGUUAGAAAGAUACGAGCGAUAUUAAUAAUAAAAAUUAAAAUAAUUUUUAAGAAACUGUAACAUUAAUUUAGAAUCAAGUUAAUUAUAUGUGGAUCCAUUUUGUUAACAAUAAAAAGAUCAUAAAAGUAUUAGGAAAUUAAUCAAAACAGAAGUCAUAAAAUAUCGGGAUACAAUUAAUAACUAGAACAAAGUUUUGGCAUCAUGUUAGAAACGGUUUAACGUUGUUAGGAACAUUGGGUUUAUGACAAUGGAGGCUUCCUUUUUUUAUUUUUCAUGUUUCCUUCUCUUCUAAAGAAUCAAGAUUUUGAAGAUAUUAAUACUCAAGAUUUUGGCGUGGGUGUGAGAUAUGAAGGUGUUAGAACUCAACAUUUUAGUACAAUAAUGUUUAUUUUCAUCUUCAAUGCUCCAACAAUCACUUAACAACAAUUUUUUUUUUAAUUUUGAAUAAAGUCAACAACCUUUGACCUCAAGAUUUUUUGCCAGAGCAGUGCUCACUUCGUACACCCUAAUUGUCAUUUUAUUAUUGGACAGCUCUCCAAACUUACCCUUCACCUUUUUCAUCUUUCUUUCUUUUUUUUUUCUCCCACACAAAUCAAACAUUUAUGAUAAUUUAUUUCACAACUUAUUGUCUCGCUAUCUACAUUUACUAAACAGUUUAUGAAAUUAUUUGCAAAGUUGAUAAUUUAAAUUAUAAUAUAUUGUAUUAAGUUAAAUUAAAAUUUAAUACAAAACCAUGUUCGGUGCUAUAUUGAACGAGAUUAUUAAAUUUAAAUUUUAGUAUUACAAAUUAUUAGUAAUAUUAUGUUAAUAUUAAUUAUAUUUACAUUAAUAUUUAGUUUAAUUAUCAAUUGAAAUUUUGAUUUCAAAAUAAAAUAUUUAGUUUAAUAUUUACAUUAAUAUUAAUUAUAUUUUACUUGGGCUGCAAUAAUUUUGUAAGAAAAAGAAAGUUAAUACGCAUUGUAGUCGUUUUGCCAACUAGGAAUUCUAGAACGCAAUAUUUUCCCGCCUUUCUUGGAUUUGCCCGUUUAGGAAACCUAGUGGUAGCUUGCAAUUUAAGCAAGAUUGACUAUAAAUAUAACACAACAUUACUCACCGACAUACAUACCAUCUACUUUUGUUCUCCUUCUGUGUCUCGGCUUCUUUGUUUUUUGUUAUCGGUAAUUCACCAAUAAAUUUUCUUAGUCAAUCAACUCACCGUUCAAUUAAGCCUUUUCUUCUCAAACAAAAUGCAAGAACACAUACCCUUUCUUCCCCAUGGCUUCCAGUUUAGACCAUCAGAUGAAGAACUUGUCGAACAUUAUCUUAAGAAGAAGGUUUCGGGAAUACCCAUUCCUCUCGCUGAGUAUUUCAUCAGGGACUGUAAUCUUUAUGAGAUAAAACCCUCUGAAAUUUGGGAUUCACAUGGAGGACCCUUUUUGAAUGCUGAUGAGGAUAUGUAUUUCUUCACCCAAUUGAAGAAAAAGUCUUCUAAGGGUUCCAGAAUUGACCACAAAGUCGGUUCUUCCGGUGGUGCUUGGCAAGGGGAGGAUGCCAAUAAAGACAUUGUAAGCGGCCAAUCCAAAAUCAAAAUCGGCUCCAAGAAGCAGUUUCGUUAUGAAAAGAAAGGUUCUGAGGAUCAUGGGGCUUGGAUCAUGCAUGAAUACACUCUAGAUUUGCCCAAGAAUCAAGCUACCAAUUAUGUGCUUUGUAGGCUCUGAAAGAACCAACCAACUGGCCAAGAUAAGAAGUACGGUUCUGCAAAGAAAAGAAAGUUAAAUGAUAUUCAACACAACAACAAUCAAUCUGAACAAGUGACAGAUACUGAGGUGGAGAGGGUUUUGACCCACCAAGAAAAUCAGCAACAGAACUAUGUGCACUAUCAAGAAGUAAGUUGCAGUAGUACUGGCAUGCUGAAUGAGCAGAGCUUAUCUGGUGGAAUGGGCUUUGCAAGCAGUGUUAUUGAACAUUCUAGUGUGACUGAUCAAAUGCAACAACAUCAAUCUGAACAAGUGACAGAUAUUGAGGUGGAGAGGGUUUUGACCCACCAACAAAAUCAGCAACAGAACUAUGUGCACUAUAAAGAAGUAAGUUGCAGCAGUACUGAUAUGAUGAGUGAGCAGAGCUUGUCUGGUGGAAUGGGCUUUGCAAGCAGUGUUGCUGAACAUUCUGGUGUGACUAAUCAACUGCAUAAACAUCAGUGUCAACAGAUACUAGUUCAGAAUUCAAAAUGUCAUUACGAACCAUCUAUGGAGAUAAUGAUGAGUCAUUUUGAUCCGAUGUUAUCUCACCAGCAACGUGACUCCGGAAACAACUUGCUUCAAA
rnacentral:lncRNA from 1 species